rnacentral:lncRNA from 1 species
GCAAAGCGCAACUGUGAAAAAAACAGAAUGAUUUCUCUGUUUUUGCUGCAGUUAGAGGAAAGAUUCAAGACACUUAGACAGACCAGGCAGCAAAGGUCAAAAGGACCUGGACAUUGACAUGGGCUGGUCAGAGAGUGACUAUGAUAUGGACGAUGAGUUCAUAAGUGCAGAAGUAUGGCAAAAGUGGAAAGAGGAGAAUUGGGAGAAAAGACAAAACAAAGUUUACAGUUACAGCAUUACCGAAUACAGAUAAGCUUGGAGAGAUUUUAAGAAAAUAGAGUGAAAAGAUAUAUCAGCCAGCAAAGGUCAAAGGUGAAAAUGUCCUGGCAAGUGGGGGGAUGAAUCAAGAGAAGACAGAGAAAGAAGUCAUUCAGAGAUCUUCUUAGGACCAGCCAGAUAUGUGCAAAGCGAGCAGUGAAGGCGUGGCCAAGGUCCCCCCCCCCAGCCCAGCAGGCCAAAUACUUCCAGCAGGAGAGAGGCAAGAACCAUUUGUCCACCAGCCCAGGAAAAAGUUCCCAGUCCUAUGUUAUGUUCAAUGUAAUUGCAUUGCUGGACAUUUCUAACUAAAUAUAUGUGUACUGUUUAAAAAAAUUACAAAUAAAAGGAAAUGUAUGGCUUUAACAUGUCUUUGACUUUAUAGUAAGAACAGCGUCAUAUGACACAAGGCAUUUAUGUAUGUGUUAUAAAUGACCAAAGGGGUCUGACUUUAUUAAAGAAUGUACAGCGUCAUGCGCUAUAGUCUUUCUGGAUGUGUUCUGAAUGACCAAAGGUGUCUCACUCACUAUAUUAUAAAGUGUCAAUAAAUAGGUUACUGUAGGGUGUGAGAGGUAUUUCAAUGGGUUGAUGGUGUAAUGGGAAAUGUUUAUUGUAUGUGUCCACAUAACUGUGAUUGUGACUAACCUUGUCAAACUGUGUGAAACUGUCCUGUUCUCGGAAGUAUCACCCCGUGUUGCAAACCAGCUUGCACCUGCGUCCUUGUAUAGUUAAAGUCCCGCCCAAGAACAAGAGACUAUAAAGAUAUGUGCCUAUCACCCAAUGCUUCGGAACAUAGACUAUCUACACUGCGCUGUUUAACUCUGUUUGUCUCUGAGCUCAGAAAUAAAGAAUCUUAGUUUGACUUGGACUCCAGCAAAUCCUUAUUUUAUAAUAUCCACCUGCAAAGCUUGUGUUUGUGUGUCAGAGCCAAGAUGAUUUGG